AGGUCCUAAUCACCGUUCCCAUCCUCGUCUAGAUCGCUGUAAAGUCCAUUAAUUAAAUCCUACCGUUCACCGGCCAAGCGCUCGAAUUCCAAUUCCAAAUCGCUUUCCUUCGUUCCUCCAAAAGUCCCAAGGAAGAGAAGAAAAAAAAAAAAAGGAAGAGGAGAAAGAGAGGAAGUGAAGUGGACGUGAAGACUUAGCACGGGUUCCUCUUUCCUUCGCCUUCCACCUCGCUUCUCGACUGCCAUGGACGCGAUCAUUGACGUAACCAGCGCCAAACCUUAUCUUCUUCUUCAUCCCAUGGUGGAGAUUGAUGUAGUCGAUGUUCGUGAGGGAUAUCCACCACCGGGCAGCUCUCUCUCUCUCUCUCUCUCUCUCUCUCUCUCUCUUCUGGCUUCGAUGAGUUACCGGAAGGCGAUCAUAACCAUGCCCACCAUCGUCGUCGUGCUCAAAGAUGGAACUUUUCUUCGCUUCUUCUAACUCCAAAGUUAGAUGUGGCUACUGACACCUAAAUGCUUUCUAGUCUCUCCUCCUGCUCCUCUAGCAACUAAAGUAAAUGAUUAUUUUUUAUCUCCUUUACAGCUAAAGUAAAUUAUUAUUUUCGUAAUUGGAACCUAAUCUUUUAGGUAUAAAUAAAUAAAUUUUGAGUAUUUUCCUUUAAAGAGAUAUAAUAUAAAUUCUUCGAAGUUGUUUGCGUUAAAUAUUUCAGACAUAAUGCCUCCUAUAUCAUUGUCUUAUUUUUUUGAAAUAAUAUUUUUUUGAUAAAAUUUCAACAAAAAUCUACCCAAUUUGACAUGUUAAUUAUUCUUACGAAUUUUGGCGUUAACAAAAAAUAAAGUAGAUCUAAGUAUCUCCUGAAAAUAAGUUUAAUGUCACCAAAAUUAUAAGAGGCCCUUUCAGAUUUAGUACACG
rnacentral:lncRNA from 1 species